CUCAGGCAGGCCUCCAGGCAGUGGUAUGCUAAGCUGUCAUCUGCUCUUCAUUCAAGAGGUUAAAGGCACUCUUUGAAUGAUUAUUCGUCUAUGUCUGUAAUUAGACUAGUUAUGUAAAUAGGCUAUACUUGCAAUUAGGCCAGUCAUGUAAAUAGGCUAUAUCUGUAAAAGGGGUUAUUUUGAUAUAAGGGGUCAGGGGUCGUUUGUAAUAACCGAGGCGUCAUUUUCUCAGAAAUAAUAUCUGAGUCUUCUUCGAGACUUUUCGAUGCUCUCCCUU
rnacentral:lncRNA from 1 species